rnacentral:rRNA from 1 species
GACGGGGGAUGCGAGCGUUAUCCGGAAUGAUUGGGCGUAAAGGGUCCGCAGGUGGCCCGGUCAGUCCGCUGUCAAAGCCUGGGGCUCAACCCUGGAGAGGCGGCGGAGACCACCGGGCUUGAGUCCGGUAGGGGCAGAGGGAAUUCCCGGUGGAGCGGUGAAAUGCGCAGAUAUCAGGAGGAACACCGGUGGCGAAGGCGGGUCUCUGGGCCGAUAUCGACGCUGAGGAGCGAAAGCGUGGGGAGCGAACAGG